rnacentral:tRNA from 1 species
GAAAUAUGGUGUUCAAUUUAAAGCUUCUAACUUUUUAAUUUAAUGGUUUAAUUCCAUUUAUAUUUCU